GCGGAAGUGGCGGAAUUGGUAUACGCGCACGUUUGAGGGGCGUGUCCGCAAGGGUGGGGGUUCGAGUCCCCCCUUCCGCACCA
rnacentral:tRNA from 1 species